AGUGAACGCUGGCGGUAGGCCUAACACAUGCAAGUCGAACGGCAGCACAGUGAGAGCUUGCUCUUACGGGUGGCGAGUGGCGGACGGGUGAGGAAUACAUCGGAAUCUACUUUUUCGUGGGGGAUAACGUAGGGAAACUUACGCUAAUACCGCAUACGACCUACGGGUGAAAGCAGGGGAUCUUCGGACCUUGCGCGAUUGAAUGAGCCGAUGUCGGAUUAGCUAGUUGGCGGGGUAAAGGCCCACCAAGGCGACGAUCCGUAGCUGGUCUGAGAGGAUGAUCAGCCACACUGGAACUGAGACACGGUCCAGACUCCUACGGGAGGCAGCAGUGGGGAAUAUUGGACAAUGGGCGCAAGCCUGAUCCAGCCAUACCGCGUGGGUGAAGAAGGCCUUCGGGUUGUAAAGCCCUUUUGUUGGGAAAGGAAAGCAGCAGGUUAAUACCCCGCUGUUCUGACGGUACCCACAGAAUAAGCACCGGCUAACUUCGUG
rnacentral:rRNA from 1 species